rnacentral:tRNA from 1 species
GUCCCUGUAGCGCAAUGCAUAGCGCGUUGGACUUCUAAUCCAAAGGUCGGGGAUUCGAAUCCCACCUGGGAUG